AGAAGUAAACAGCCAUUCAACCAAAUCUGCCCUCUUGUUAUUCAUAUUCUGGAAUAAGGCCUGAAGUGGUGUUCUGGCCGACACACCUGAGUGAAUCCAGUGGAAAGCAACAGACUAGUGUCCCAACUGAGUUUAGUUUUAUUAUCUUCAUUACAGCCAGGACUUUGACAGAAUCACUGUUCUUUAAACCAUGGUAAGAAAUAGGCAAAAGUACACAUUGUAUAGUGUAUAUCUGCUCUUCAUUCGAAUUUCAACCUAAAUUUGGACAACAAUAGAGGACUCUUUCCUGCGGCGGAGGAAGUCCGUGCGCCUGAUAACAUAGCUUGAACGGAGGCGGAGUAAUUCAACGGUCCUGUGAAGCAGCCGUAGGGAGAGAGAACGUCUUCGGUGAACCGACAGCAUUCGGACUUGGAUCUAAAUUCAGAGUUCAGGAGGAUUGUCACCACAGACCUGAUGGAGUCUUUCUUUGGUGGACUAGAUGCCUUGUUACCAAACCUUAUAGAGUUGUACCAGUCAGGUGUCACAUCCAACAAGAGGUUAAUCCUGAGAAGAAUUCUGCAGUGUCUUGGGAAAGAGGAUUCAAACCAAAACAGACAUACAGAUGCCCUACUUGGCCUUCCAUGCUUCUUUGCAGAGGAUUUCUCAAACAUGAUCCGGGUUAUGUGUGAUGUAAGUUGUUUUAAGUAUCAAUGUAAAAACGAUUUCAUGGUCAUAACAUAACAUUUUUAAAACUUUAUUUGAAGGGAUACUUCACCGGUUGAAACAUGAAUCUGUAUUGACAUUGGGUCAU